AACGAACGCUGGCGGCAUGCCUAACACAUGCAAGUCGAACGAGAUCUUCGGGUCUAGUGGCGCACGGGUGCGUAACGCGUGGGAAUCUGCCCUUUGGUUCGGAAUAACAGUUGGAAACGACCGCUAAUACCGGAUGAUGACGAAAGUCCAAAGAUUUAUCGCCAGAGGAUGAGCCCGCGUAGGAUUAGCUAGUUGGUGUGGUAAAGGCGCACCAAGGGGACGAUCCUUAGCUGGUCUGAGAGGAUGAUCAGCCACACUGGGACUGAGACAGGGCCCAGACUCCUACGGGAGGCAGCAGUGGGGAAUAUUGGACAAGGGGCGAAAGCCUGAUCCAGCAAUGCCGCGUGAGUGAUGAAGGCCUUAGGGUUGUAAAGCUCUUUUACCCGGGAUGAUAAUGACAGUACCGGGAGAAUAAGCUCCGGCUAACUCCGUGCCAGCCGCCGCGUAA
rnacentral:rRNA from 1 species